GUGGGGAAUAUUGGACAAUGGGCGAAAGCCUGAUCCAGCCAUGCCGCGUGUGUGAAGAAGGUCUUCGGAUUGUAAAGCACUUUAAGUUGGGAGGAAGGGCAGUAAGUUAAUACCUUGCUGUUUUGACGUUACCGACAGAAUAAGCACCGGCUAACUUCGUGCCAGCAGCCGCGGUAAUACGAAGGGUGCAAGCGUUAAUCGGAAUUACUGGGCGUAAAGCGCGCGUAGGUGGUUUUGUAAGUUGGAUGUGAAAUCCCCGGGCUCAACCUGGGAACUGCCUCCAAAACUGCAUGACUAGAGUACGGUAGAGGGUAGUGGAAUUUCCUGUGUAGCGGUGAAAUGCGUAGAUAUAGGAAGGAACACCAGUGGCGAAGGCGACUACCUGGACUGAUACUGACACUGAGGUGCGAGAGCGUGGGGAGCAAACAGGAUUAGAUACCCGUGUAGUCC
rnacentral:rRNA from 1 species